rnacentral:rRNA from 1 species
GAUGAACGCUGGCGGCGUGCCUAAUACAUGCAAGUCGAGCGAACAGACGAGGAGCUUGCUCCUCUGACGUUAGCGGCGGACGGGUGAGUAACACGUGGAUAACCUACCUAUAAGACUGGGAUAACUUCGGGAAACCGGAGCUAAUACCGGAUAAUAUAUUGAACCGCAUGGUUCAAUAGUGAAAGACGGUUUUGCUGUCACUUAUAGAUGGAUCCGCGCCGCAUUAGCUAUUUGGUAAGGUAACGGCUUACCAAGGCAACGAUGCGUAGCCGACCUGAGAGGGUGAUCGGCCACACUGGAACUGGAACACGGUCCAGACUCCUACGGGAGGAAGCAGUAGGGAAUCUUCCGCAAAGGGCGAAAGCCUGACGGGGCAACGCCGCGUGAGUGAUGAAGGUCUUCGGAUCGUAAAACUCUGUUAUCAGGGAAGAACAAAUGUGUAAGUAACUAUGCAAGUCUUGACGGUACCUAAUCAGAAAGCCACGGCUAACUACGUG